rnacentral:rRNA from 1 species
AGCAGCCGCGGUAAUUCCAGCUCCAAUAGCGUAUAUUAAAGUUGUUGCAGUUAAAAAGCUCGUAGUUGAAUUUCGGGAUUAGUAGUCUGGUCGUGCCACUGGUAUGUACUGGUCUUACUGAUUUCUCCUUCUUGAAGAACCGUAAUGUCAUUAAUUUGGUGUUGCGGGGAAUCUGGACUGUUACUUUGAAAAAAUUAGAGUGUUUAAAGCAGGCUGACGCUUGAAUACAUUAGCAUGGAAUAAUGAAAUAGGACGUUCGAUCCUAUUUUGUUGGUUUCUAGGAUUGACGUAAUGAUUAAUAGGGAUAGUUGGGGGCAUUAGUAUUCAAUUGUCAGAGGUGAAAUUCUUGGAUUUAUUGAAGACUAACUACUGCGAAAGCAUUUGCCAAGGAUGUUUUCAUUAAUCAAGAACGAAAGUUAGGGGAUCGAAGACGAUCAGAUACCGUCGUAGUCUUAACCAUAAACUAUGCCGACUAGGGAUUGGAUGAUGUUAAUUUUAUAAUGA